rnacentral:rRNA from 1 species
GAUGAACGCUAGCGGCAGGCCUAUACACAUGCAAGUCGAGGGGUAACAGGAAAGCUUGCUUUUGCUGACGACCGACGCACGGGUGCGUAACGCGUAUGCAACCUACCUCAUACAGGAGAGUAGCCCUUGGAAACGAGGAUUAAUACUCCAUGGUAUCAUUUUUUCGCAUGUUAAAAUGAUUAAAGAAUUUCGGUAUGAGAUGGGCAUGCGUCCCAUUAGCUAGUUGGUGAGGUAACGGCUCACCAAGGCGACGAUGGGUAGGGGGCCUGAGAGGGUGGUCCCCCACACUGGUACUGAGACACGGACCAGACUCCUACGGGAGGCAGCAGUGAGGAAUAUUGGUCAAUGGAGGCAACUCUGAACCAGCCAUGCCGCGUGAAGGAUGACGGCCCUAUGGGUUGUAAACUUCUUUUAUAUGGGAAGAAACUUAUCUACGUGUAGAUAACUGACGGUACCAUACGAAUAAGGAUCGGCUAACUCCGUG